rnacentral:rRNA from 1 species
UACGUAUGGAGCAAGCGUUAUCCGGAUUUACUGGGUGUAAAGGGAGUGUAGGUGGCCAGGCAAGUCAGAAGUGAAAGCCCGGGGCUCAACUCCGGGACUGCUUUUGAAACUGCAGGGCUAGAGUGCAGGAGGGGCAAGUGGAAUUCCUAGUGUAGCGGUGAAAUGCGUAGAUAUUAGGAGGAACACCAGUGGCGAAGGCGGCUUGCUGGACUGUAACUGACACUGAGGCUCGAAAGCGUGGGGAGCAAACAGG